rnacentral:rRNA from 1 species
CGAGGAAAAGAAACCAACAGGGAUUGCCUCAGUAGCGGCGAGUGAAGCGGCAAAAGCUCAAAUUUGAAAUCUGGCGUCUUUGGCGUCCGAGUUGUAAUUUGAAGAAGGUAUCUUUGGGCCCGGCUCUUGUCUAUGUUCCUUGGAACAGGACGUCACAGAGGGUGAGAAUCCCGUGCGAUGAGAUGACCCGGGUCUGUGUAAAGUUCCUUCGACGAGUCGAGUUGUUUGGGAAUGCAGCUCUAAGUGGGUGGUAAAUUCCAUCUAAAGCUAAAUAUUGGCGAGAGACCGAUAGCGAACAAGUACAGUGAUGGAAAGAUGAAAAGAACUUUGAAAAGAGAGUGAAAAAGUACGUGAAAUUGUUGAAAGGGAAGGGCUUGAGAUCAGACUUGGUAUUUUGCAUGCUGCUCUCUCGGGGGCGGCCGCUGCGGUUUACCGGGCCAGCAUCGGUUUGGAGCGGCAGGAUAAUGGCGGAGGAAUGUGGCACGGCUUCUGCUGUGUGUUAUAG